rnacentral:rRNA from 1 species
CAAUAGCGUAUAUUUAAGUUGUUGCAGUUAAAAAGCUCGUAGUUGGAUUUCGGAUGGGCUUGACCGGUCCGCCGUUUGGUGUGCACUGGUCGUGCCUAUCUUGCUGCCGGGGACGCGCUCCUGGCCUUAAUUGGCCGGGACGCGGAGUCGGCGAUGUUACUUUGAAAAAAUUAGAGUGUUCAAAGCAGGCCUAAGCUCUGAAUACAUUAGCAUGGAAUAACGCUAUAGGACUCUGGUCUUAUUGCGUUGGUCUUCGAGACCGGAGUAAUGAUUAAGAGGGACAGUUGGGGGCAUUCGUAUUUCAUUGUCAGAGGUGAAAUUCUUGGAUUUAUGAAAGACGAACUUCUGCGAAAGCAUUUGCCAAGGAUGUUUUCAUUA